AGCCCUCUGUAUCCGUGCUGAGAUUUCAUCACACACCAGACCACAAGGGCUGAUGAGACUUGCAAGAUAAGUGAAGCG
rnacentral:pre_miRNA from 1 species